UUUUGCUGGAGAUCCCUCUGCACUUGAGGCCUUCUGGGGGCAAUGAGUGUCUGAGUCUGUUAGGCCAAACUCCAUAAACCUCACCAGAAUGUCAGCUAUCAAGAUGACAAUUUCUGGAACUCAAGGCACAGCCGAAGAAGCCUUUCCGGACCAGAAACCUUUCUGGACCAGAAAAUGACCAUGGGACACAACAUACACAUGCCAGUGAAUAGGCUAUCAGGAGAUAAGAUAAUGUGAUGGAAAUCUUCUGCUUCUGUCCACGUAGUGUGCAAAUUCUGGAGUCUAUGCUGCAAGUCUUCUGCUCUUUUGUUUUGCCUUUCUUUCAGUUCUCCUAGAUCCUUCCUUGUGCUCUGUGUGUUUGAUCCUGCAAGCAGCAGCCCACACCAGAUAGCUGCUGAUUGUUGAAAGAGAUGUUCUCAACUGUCUGCCCCUCAGCAGUAAUUCUUGCACAGAUCUUCAGUUCUCCUGCCAGCUCUGACAAAAUGUGCUAAGUUCAGUACAUUUGUAAUCACCAGUUUAAAUUCUUUAAGACUAAAAUUGUUUAGGAGGUUCUGAAGUUACUAAGAGCACUUGGCAGAACCCAUUGUUUCUUACUUCAUGGAGAUCUCACUUUCUGAGGCCAAUCAUUCUGACAGCUCUUUUUACAACUUGACUCUACAAAUGAACAGAAUCAGGCAGGAAUUAAUACAGGAGGGUAAGAAGAGUUUAAUUUCAGACAGGGAAGAGGAUUCAGUGUGAAGAAUACAGCUCUCUGAUAAAACCAGAAAGUCUUCAUUAUCGUGGCUACCUAGGAAUAUGUAAGUGACUUCAGGUUUCUAAGGAGAUGUGUAAUCUGUUGUUAGAUCAACGCAUAUGACUGACAAAAGAAAAAAAGAAACAACAACAAAAAACAACAACAACAAACAAGUUGUCCAGGGUAUACUUCUAUAGGCAUGAAAUACAUGCAACAGCCUUCAUAACGGGAUGCAGGUUGAGAAUUAUUACUUGGAGUUUAAUUUGACGAUUAGAAUUUUGCUACCUUAGUAAAGAGGGGAGAAAAAGGAACUGCUUCUGUAUCCUGCAUGGAAUGUUGUAACAAGUAAGACCAGAAUUUAAUAGAGCAGAAGAUGAGGGUCUUGUCUGCUCCAAAGUUUGUCAUUUUUUUUCAACUAUAUCAAUUACUCUAACAAAAGCUCUAUAUGUUAAGCCAAUGUAGGAGUUGAAGUACAAUGAAGGGUAUAACCAAAACAAGCUUGCAGUUUAACAUGGACAUUUCUCUGUUAUGUCACACUGUUUGAAACUGUUGCUAAUGAUACAUCUCACUUCUCAUCUCCCACAUCAUUUAAUUAGGUACUCUUUGCAGCCAUAGUUUGAGAGGCAUUUGAAUUUAAGAGGAAAACAUGAUAGCUUUUGGUGAAAUAUAAAAUUAAAGAGCCAUUGCAGCUUUAUGGAGGAACAGUUGCAACCACAGUCUGCAGUUAUGCUCUGGAUAGUCCAGCCACAGCUCUUGAGGGUAAUUACCUGAGACAACAGAGGUUAAGUACAUCAGCCAAGGCAGUAGUUUCAGGAUUCGGUUUCAAGGCUAAAAUAGAGUGCAGAACAGAAGUGGGAAUGCAAAACUGCUUUUGAUUUUAAUCAUGACACAGUGUUUAGUCCGGGCAGGAGUGGACUCCUUACUGAGUCUUGGCUGGAAGUAAUUAUAGUUUCCUGCACAUUCAGACAAUAUAUUCCUCCAGGGGGAUCUGACCCUGCUUCUACCUCCUGUGUGCUUUCUUUUUAUAUUUCACUUCAGUCAGGAACUCUGUGUUCAUCCAUGCAGGUCUUCUGCCUCUGCUGCUUGAUUUUUUGCUUACUGGGAUAGACUACUCUUGAACCUGGAGGAGAUCUUUGGAAAUCAGCUAGCACUCCUGAACUCCUCUCCAGGGCUGCAUUCUGUGGGGCUGCUCUUAGCAUGUCCAUGAACUGGCUGAAAUCAGCUCUUCUGAAAUUGAAAGCUGCGGACCGUCCCUUUGCCCUGUUCCCUGCUCUUAGAAUCCUGAAUUUCACCAUCUCUUGGUCACUUUAGCCAAAGCAACUCCCAGCCUUCACAUCACUGACCAGUUUUUUCUUGAUUGUGAACAUGAGGUUUAGCAGAGCAUCACCCCCUUUAGCUUUCCAGAUACCCAGAUUGCAUUUGCCCUGGUCCUUUCAGCUGAUACUGGAGUGGCUAAGGCUCCCCCAUGAGAUUCUGGGUCUGUAAGCAGGAGGUUUAAAGUUGUCUGAAGAAUAUCUCAUCUACUUUUUCCUAACCAGUCUGUAGCAGACACUGGGGACAAUGGGGUCACUCUAAUCUCCUGUCCUGAGGCAGAGUUCCAUGCAUCCCUGACAAUCUGUCAUGUGAUUGGUAGCUCACCCUCUUCACCAUACCCCCAUGUCCUUCCUAAAAUGCCUGUAUCCAUCCAUGGCAGCACUCCAGGUGUGAACUACUCUGGCAUAUCUCUAUGAUCCCUAUGAGAUCACAGCCCUGUAACUAUCUGCAUGCCUCUAAUACCUCAUGUUUCUUCCCCAUGCUGAUUGCAUAAACAUAGGUAUGCAUAGGCCUUACAGAGAAGCACUUAGUGGUGUUGAUUUCCCCAAAAAGGCAUCAAAACUUCCACCACAAUGCUGCCUUUUCCUAAUUUGUAUGCAUAGACCUGGGGCUGGCAACCAUCAGUCCUUAUUUGUUGUUUAUAGGAUCUCUUUCCCACAUCAACAUCUGUCCUUUGAUUGCCAACCAGGUCCCUACUUCCUCCUCUGACACAGCUGUUGACACCACUCUUAUGUCCUAGUUUGCAGAUCUCUUCUCCCCAUGGGCUAGCCUGUUGGCCCUCCUUGCCUCUUACUCCUGGUCUUGACACACCUCAUCUGCAACCAGGAUGUAGAAUCUGCACUGUAGUUGCACAGGUGAAGGUGGAUCAGGAGCCAUGCUCUGCAGCCAGAAAUUCUGGCUUCCAGAUUUCACAAUCUGAGGAGCCUCCAUUUCCUGACCUGAUAAGCACAGGAUUUAUCUGCCCCUCAUUCAGUAUGCCUGAGGGCAUGGGCUGUUGAAGGUGUAGGGUUUCAGAAAAGAUCCUUUUGCUCUCUCUGAUGCUGUGCAACCUGCUGAUCUAGGGC
ensembl:lncRNA